rnacentral:rRNA from 1 species
AUUGAACGCUGGCGGAAUGCCUUACACAUGCAAGUUGAACGGCAGCACGGGGGCAACCCUGGUGGCGAGUGGCGAACGGGUGAGUAAUACAUCGGAACGUGCCCAGUCGUGGGGGAUAACGUAGCGAAAGUUACGCUAAUACCGCAUACGAUCUAUGGAUGAAAGCGGGGGACCGUAAGGCCUCGCGCGAUUGGAGCGGCCGAUGUCAGAUUAGGUAGUUGGUGGGGUAAAGGCCCACCAAGCCGACGAUCUGGAGCUGGUCUGAGAGGACGACCAGCCACACUGGGACUGAGACACGGCCCAGACUCCUACGGGAGGCAGCAGUGGGGAAUUUUGGACAAUGGGCGAAAGCCUGAUCCAGCAAUGCCGCGUGUGUGGAGAAGGCCUUCGGGUUGUAAAGCACUUUUGUCCGGAAAGAAAUGGCUCUGGUUAAUACCUGGGGUCGAUGACGGUACCGGAAGAAUAAGGACCGGCUAACUACGUGCCAGCCGCCGCCGUAACAC